CUGCAGGACAGCGGCCGUCCAGGAGUUUUACACCCCUGCAGAGUCUCUGCCAUUCUGCUCACAGGUCCUCCUGCUGCUGCAUCAUUCAUGCAGGUUGUGUGCAGAUGGCGUUGAAAGCCUGAACUCCAGAAUCUACUGAAGAGGUGAAAGAAGACACCCAAGUGUCCACAAAGCCAACACCAAAGUCUCCAUGUUUGCCCGUAAGAAGCUCAGCCUCAGGUCGUCAUCUGCAGCUCCUGUUACCUGUGAAUUCCUCUGUCCCACACAUCACCUGUCAACAAGCAGGUGACAUAUCUUCUCUGGAUCAACAACUUCACUUACCUCUGAACCAAUAGGAUCUUCCACCUCUGCGCUGUUACCUCUCCUCAAACCCACGAACUGACCUUGCCAAAACAGAUUCCGGUUACUUAUUUAAUAAAUGUCAAAACCUUACUAUGCUCUCACAGUGGUUUCUGCAUUUGGGUCAAAAACCAAACCUUGACAAUGAUGAGAAGAAAUUGGUGGAUGCGACAAAGACAGAAAAUAAAAGAUGCUCUGAUUGGGGAUCGAAAUUUAACAUUUGGCCUGGAUGUGGAACACGACGUGCCACUGCACAGGAACCUAAACAAGCAAUCUUCACUGUAAAACGUGAUGCUUUGAGAUGGGAGCAAGGUUCAUAACUUCAAUUAAAGCAUAAAAGAAUGUCCCAGUCAAAGUCCAGACCUAAAUCCAGUCUAUCCAAAUGGACAAAGCUGGUCCAGACAUGUCUAAAAAGACUUGAAGGUGUAACUCUGGUGAAAGCUCCUCCAAAUAACUUUCACAGUUCAAGGGUGCUGCGUACAAACCCUUGGGACACUUUUUAAAGUUUCAAUUGAAAAAAUAUUGAAAUAAUUUUUCUCUUAUGGAUCGUUUUCUCCUG